rnacentral:rRNA from 1 species
AAACCUGUCUCAGUUCGGAUUGGAGUCUGCAACCCGACUCCAUGAAGCUGGAUUCGCUAGUAAUCGCGCAUCAGCCACGGCGCGGUGAAUACGUUCCCGGGCCUUGUACACACCGCCCGUCAAGCCAUGGAAGCCGGGAGUGCCUGAAGUGCGUGACCGCAAGGAGCGUCCUAAGGCAAUACCGGUGACUGGGGCUAAGUCGUAACAAGGUAAC